rnacentral:lncRNA from 1 species
UCAAAGCUGUAAUUAAUCCUCUGACUUGCAACUGUGGUGAAUGCUCGUCAGCUGUGUCUAGUGAUAAGGUGCUUCUGCACAGCCAAGGAAUAAGGUCAGUCCUGCUGGGAAGUGAGAUGUGUCCUGAUUGACUGUGGGUGCUUGCUGUAGAUGCUGAGAGGUGCAAAUGCAGUUUUCUGGGUUGAGCUUCAUAGAUCUCUACAAAAAAUUAUCGGUGGUGGGAGACCAGUCUGCCCAGAAGUGAGAGUUCAAGCAAGGAUGUAUGAAACUGGUCCUUGGGACACCAUACACACACUCCUACCUCUCAUCACGGCAAUGAAUGUGUGUAAGAGCAUAACUUUGACCUCAGAUAUUGCUGUAGCCAAUGCACAGUCACACUGCUCCUC